GGCUCUAAGGAUACAGUACCUCCUGCGUGCAAAUCCUUUAUCAGGAACUAUGACAAAGGAGCAACUUCGUCAAAGAAAGGUCUGCCAAUCACAUUUUGAGGAUAAAUAAAUCUAAAACAAUCUAUUGGUUAUGACAAUGAUGAAUGGAUGUCCUAUUUUUUAUUUAUCCAUGAAGAAAAUAAUAACAUCUCGGCGACCAUCCAAGCUGUUGCUGAUCAGGUCAUCCAGUAAGUUAAACUGCUAAUAGAGAUAACUUCAAUUCAAUGUUGUUGCCAGAUAAUGCUGUGAGUGAAGAAACUAUAUCCUGCCAUCUACAUCAGAGCCACAUCUGUCAUUAUGGAUAAUAUUAUUGCUGCGUCCUAAGGUUCAGCUUGCAAAUAAACCCAUCAAGCAGAGGCGGUACACACAAACAAAAGGUGGACUCUUUGGUUUUUUUAAAACGGAGCCCGAAAGCGUAUGAGCUAUUGCGCCACAUAUUUAUUUUGCCUAGUCAACGAUCAAGAAAAUGAAGGUAUUGAGUGAAAAAACUGCCGCAAUGAUACAGCCCCAAAUUUGAUUCCGGCCCAGUGUAUAGUUUUUUUAACUAAAGUUUUUUGUUAUUUUUGCCUCAAGAAUGUACUUAUUGUGAAUUUCUUUGUUAAUGGCUGUAUAGUUUUACUUGAGUCAAAGAAAAUCGUAGUUGAUGUAUAAAAAAAUAAUUUAUAAAUCUAUUAGGGUACAUUUUACUGUCGUCUUUUUUUUCUUAGAAACUUGCAGUAGAUUAUUCACUUUUUUGGAAACUGAUAAUUACUUGUUAAUACCAUAAUUUAUUA